GACUUCAUCAACAUUCUAGAACUAUUGUCUCUGAAACUGCAGAAAGGAAAUUAAAUCAAAUUUUAGUAGUCUUGGCUGGGAAUCUUUUUUGUUCCUCUUCUGCAAGGUAUAAAGAUUUAGCUGGUUGCCAAGCUUGGAGUUAAAACUUGGACGCCAAAACCUGGUUCAGUCCACAAUGAGGUCACAGAACAAAAGCUUUCCAUAACCAUUUGGACCAAAAGAUCUUCCAGAAGUCAUCUAGGUUCUGAGAAUGAUUGGAUGGAUUUGACCCUUUGGAGAUUUAAUUGGAAAUCUAGAGAAGUCAGGUUUGGAGAAAUCAAUAUUUGGUGACCUUCCAAAAUUCUGGAACUCUAGCUCUUUCGAAGACUUUGAGGCCUGUGAAGUAAAUUAUCUUAUUAGAAGGAUGAAUUAUCAUAGCCUCUCUGAGACUAGAGUCACUAGCCUGGGUGGCCCCAAGUCAAAUGUCCAGAAAACUUUAGGUGGGUGCUGCAUCUCAGCUCUGGAGACAAUAGUAAAAAUAAAAAUUGAAGAGGCCAUUUUGCUUUUGGUUUUUCAGUGGAACUGGACUCAUAUUCCUCUAAAUCAUUGUUUUCAGAUUUAAGUUCCACAGUAGAAAGACUUAAGAAGAUCAAAGGGCAGGAUAAUGAAAUUAUAGCCCAGCUGUGAUCCCUCUCCAGUACCAAUUUAGAACAAAACAACACAUAUGAGGGAUAGGUUAGGAAUAAGAGGUACAAAUGGAACUUUCAUUCAAUUUCACUGUCUUUGCCUAAUUCAGAAAUCUCAGGAGAUAGGUCCUAUCUAGUAUAGGCUAUACUCCUCAUGACCCUAUUGGGUAAGGCUGUUGGUAGAACACUUUGCACCAAUCCCUAUGAGUGCUAUCUAUGCAUUAUUCUAUGACAAUGAGCAAUCAGAAGAGGAAAUUCCAUCCCUCUCCUCAAUUCUUAAGCCUUUCAGACAGAAUUGUCCCUGGAGAAAUUGUAUGGAAGGAGUCCAACCUUGAGCCCUAGGUUCGUUGUCAAUAUUUUCAUCAUAUCCUAUCUGGAUCCAGGCAACUUCUCUGAAAGAAAAGGGGUCAGCAACUUGAGACUGGACUUCUAAUAUCCCUUGAAGCUACUAGACUACCCAUUUACAGACCCAGGUAUUUGGCAGGACUAAUAGUAUUCAUGAAGCCUAACCUGACAUUUCUCAGCCCCUUAAGGAAUCAAGUGAUAAGGAAAAGAAAGGCUGACAACCAGACACCUGGGCUCAAAAUCACCAAGACACGUGUCCCUGUCACCCCCUGGGACUUCUCCCACAGAAAAAUGGAGAAAUCAAUCCUCUACCACUGGGCUGAAAAAAUAAAGAGCAGAAGAUGGCUAGAAAAAAUGAAGAAGCUAGGGCCAACAAGAAAAACCAAACUUCAGAUUCAGCAUUGCCAUCUUUAAGGCAAAGCGCCAAGCACCAGGAGGAGGCCACAUGUCUACUAAAGAGUUCCCUAGUUACCAGGAAGUAAUGUCUGCCUGCCAGGAGAGAAAGAACAGACAACCUACAGUGUUGUUCUUCCAGAGGAAAACUACUAAACUUUUCACAUUUAAACUAUAGAUUCCAGGAAGCGUGUGUAACCAUGACUGAGAAGUUGAACAGACUGCCUUCCUGGCUGCCGGGGGAAUGCAAUCAGAAACUUUCCCUUUGGACAUCCUUCAGGCCACUGUGUAGAACCCUGGUCUCCAGCCUGGUAAAGGUGCAGUAGAACAAGUUCCAAACUUGCUUGCAGUCAUUAUCGUGGAAUAGGAUGGUCCCUGGGACCCAAAGGGGGUCUGGAGAUCCUCACCACCCCACCCCCUUAGGAUAUAGUAAUAUUUACCUCUAACUUUCACGCACAGUCUUCAGCGGUCCUUUAAUUUCCCUGAUAGCCCUGCUACGAUAUAUAGCAUUACAGAAACCAGGACAAUGACAGCAAGGGAUUAUGGGGUUCCUUCAGUAUUACUCAUGAUGCAUGAGUGGACAAUCAAAUACUUAGGACAGCGGCUCUGCAGGAACAAGACACCAGAUCAAACAAAAUGCAGAAUUAAAACUGGAUUUUUUUUAAA